CCGAGUUUGUGGAGGCCCAAGUGAAGGCCCAUCCCACUGUGGAGAGAGGGGCGGAGGAUGGGAGGCAGAGCCGGUGUCCCAGCACCAGCCCUCCAUCUAGUGGGAAGUUUCGGGAUCGCGGGAUGCAGAGAUGGGGUGGGGGGAGGGAUCCAUUGCCCCGGAAUCUUUCCUCUUCCUGGAUGUCCUGCUGGCCCUACACACCACCAACCUGCUCAGUCUGCUCCACCUCAGGGCUAAGACGUGUGUGCCUCAUUCAGAACUGAAUCCUCCGGACCCAGCGUGGUGCCUGGCACAUAGCCCUGCCUCCCUGUCACGUCUCUGCGGUCCUCACUUGCCCAAGAUCAGCUCCAAGGACCCAGCAACCUACGCAGUGUCCAGUGCUGCUGAAAGAGGAGGCCUUAGUCUUCGAAUGCUGGCACGGAGCACUCAAGACCAAGACCAGGUUACACUGGGGAAACUGUGGUCCAGGGAGGAGAAGGGGCUUGCCCCAAGGCCCUCAAGCAUGAUGCUAAAGCCACCAUCUAGGCCUCCCAAGCCCCAGGCCCAGCAGACUUGCUCGCCACCAUCGGCCUUUAUUACACCCCUCUCCCGGUCCUCCUCCCACCUCCCUGCCGGCUCUUUGCCCACCAGCCACCCUGGCUUCCCUAACACUAGGCUCUGUGCUCCCUACCCUGGACCUUCCUCUGCCCUUUACCAUGCACAUGUGUCCUCCCUGUUCCUGGCUACACCUUGCCUUUUGGAGGCAGCCGGAUGCCUCCCUCUGCCCCGAUGCCCACAGGUGCUGCACACACAGCUGUGCCCAACUGAAUAAAGGCGGACUCCUCGGCCGCAAACCCACUCCUCCACUUCUGCGCCCCUGCAGCUGCCCACGCUACAAUUCCGGAUGUCAACCUUGACCUCUCAAGACGCUGCCACAUUUAUUGCCACCUCCCACACCAGGAGCACAGUGCUGGCCCCUCCUCAGUGGUCCAACCAUGGGCAGCUGUCCACAGACCAAAACCUGCUGUGAGGCUGAGCGCAACCCACCGCUAAUGCCAACGUCGAGUUUUCUGUCUUUGUUACGCCUUCCUGUUUUUGCCAUCUGCAGCAGGAGCAGGCACCAAAUGUUCAAGAAACAUUUUGGGAGAAAAACGAAACUUGAGAAUCUUCUAGCUGCUAACUUAAUUUCCUUAGUGCGGAGGAUGGGGAGCAGCUUUCUGAGGCCGAACAUGAGCAGCCAACAGUGUCUAAGCUGUGACUCCUGCCCCUUUCCUUAUCCACAUCCCACUUAUCCCUCCAACUAGAGUUCUAGAAUGUUCUCAAGUUCUACCGUGGGUCACCACCACCUGCUUGUUCCCAGUGACUCUGUGCAGACAGCAGGUCUGAGGAGGCCAGAGGGAUGGUGGGGCAUCCACAGAAACCACACAGGCAGGGUGAGAGAGGGGCUGACAUUUUCUCAGGAAAGGGGUGGUCAAAAUUAGCACAGGCUUAUGGGCAGGGCUGAGGCUGAUUUCAGGGAUGAUAAGAGCAGCAAUUCCCAAUUAUCUAGCACUUUCUACCCGUUCCACAAGAAACCAAUGUUUUAUGUCACUCAGUCCUCACAACAACUCUAUAAAGAGGCUGCUCUGUUCUCCCCACUUUACAAAUGAGGAAACUGAGGCUCGGAGAUAUUAAGGCUCAGAGAGCCUGAGGCUCAGAGGUUUUGUUCCAGAUCUUACUGAAGCAUCCAGACGUGCAGAACUCAGAGGCCCAGGCUCUCAGCCCGUUAUGUCUGCCCCCGACCAAUACAGCAUCUGGCCUGAGCCACAGGCCCCUUCAAGGAAGACCGAUCUUAACCAGUCACCCCAAAGUAAGGCCUAAAGCAAGUGUGAAUACACCGAGAAGUGCACCCUCAGCGCAUGGAGUCCAAGCCCACUUGAGUUCAGAGAAGCCGGGAUUCCCUUGGCGCUGCCAUGGGCACAAGCAGAGGUUAGACACGCACGGCAUAUCACUCCCAGCAACUUCGUACAAAGGAGCUGCUCUGGGGAGCUGCCUUCCUGGCUGUAGCCUGCGACUCAGACACGGUCUCAGGCCCGUGGGGGCAGGCCUCCCACCCCACCCUACCCCUGUGCCCU